CCCUUAGAUGCUCUGGGCCGCACGCGCGCUACACUGGUCGAUGCAACGAGUUUCUUUCCUUGGCCGACAGGCCUGGGCAAUCUUUGAACAUCGAUCGUGAUCGGGAUAGAUUCUUGUAAUUUUUGAUCUUAAACGAGGAAUUCCUAGUAAACGCAAGUCAUCAGCUUGUAUUGAUUACGACCCUGCCCUUUGUACACACCGCCCGUCGCACCUACCGAUUGAAUGGUCCGGUGAAAUCUCCGGACUGGCGUGAGUCGGAGCAAUCUGACAAACACCGGAAAGUUGAUUAAACCUUACCAUUUAGAGGAAGGUGAAGUCGUAACA
rnacentral:rRNA from 1 species